rfam:Cryptosporangium aurantiacum strain DSM 46144 genome assembly, contig: Ga0131100_101
GCCGGUCCUCGGUAGUACGCACUUGUGACGUUCGGUCACAAGUGGGUUCGAUCGAAGACCGGC